rnacentral:lncRNA from 1 species
GUCCGAAGCAUAUCUGUAUUGAAAUGCAUAUUGUAUUAAGUGUCUCAUUAGGCUUUUUAUCUCUGAGGGGUAUCUAUUUCCCUUACCCUUCGGGGUAUCUGCUUCGCCUUCCUCUAUCUGGUAUAGAAAGAUCAAAGAGGACUGCUCCUAGUAGAUAAUGGUGUACCCUCUUACGAGAGUGGUAUCACACUAUCUAUAGGGGUCACCCAUGCCUUAGUAAUGUUGCGACUAUAAAUAUCUGUUAGGACCACUAU